AAUUUUAUAAUUUAAACUAAAAUAUUAAAAUGCAAUUUUAAACUUAUAAAAAAAUUAUUAAAAUUU
rnacentral:tRNA from 1 species